GAUGAACGCUGGCGGCGUGCUUUAACACAUGCAAGUCGAACGGUGAAAGAGGAGCUUGCUCCUCUGGAUCAGUGGCGAAACGGGUGAGUAACACGUGAGUAACCUGCCCCAGACUCUGGGAUAAGCGUUGGAAACGACGUCUAAUACCGGAUACGAGCUUCAGCCGCAUGGCUAGGAGCUGGAGAGAAUUUUCGGUCUGGGAUGGACUCGCGGCCUAUCAGGUAGUUGGUGAGGUAAAGGCCCACCAAGCCUACGACGGGUAGCCGGCCUGAGAGGGUGACCGGCCACACUGGGACUGAGACACGGCCCAGACUCCUACGGGAGGCAGCAGUGGGGAAUAUUGCACAAUGGGCGCAAGCCUGAUGCAGCAACGCCGCGUG
rnacentral:rRNA from 1 species